rnacentral:lncRNA from 1 species
GAGGAAAAGUCAGAUGCAGAGACUCUUCAUUUUUAAUGCUAAAACGUAUUGUGAUCCAAAGCAUUCAGACACAGUAAAGAAUCUGAUAUCUUAGGAGGAAAAAAACCAGACAAAUAGGCUAUCCAGUCACAUCUAAGUGGAAACAUAUUUUCCUGAGCCAUAGUGUUUGUGCUCUUCAAUCUUCCUUAGUGACUUCGCUCUCACAGUACCAGCCCAUUACCUAUGAAAACACAUUCUUUCUUUCUUACAGAUACUAGGAGAAUUGAAAGAUGUGUCCAGGAAAAUGAAACCUAUGUCUAAUGUUUGUGGAGGCGCACAAGGAAACAACAGGAACAACAGUUCUUUUAGGCUUCAAAUCAAAGAAUAUUUAUAAACAUUUUGUGAAGAGUAGUAUAUAUCUAGUCAUUUCUGCUCUGCUCCCUUUGAGUCUGUUCCUUCUCGACCAGUACAGACCUUUGAGGAGGCACUGUCAGCUGGGCAUACGUAAAUGUAGGAAAUGAAGGUUCAAGUUCCUGAUCCGGUGAGUAAGAGGAUGUACAUGACUUGUUUUAAAUGGU